UACGUAGGGUGCAAGCGUUUGUCCGGAAUUAUUGGGCGUAAAGAGCUCGUAGGCGGUCUGUCGCGUCUGCUGUGAAAAUCAGGGCUCAACCCUGGACCUGCAGUGGGUACGGGCAGACUAGAGUGCGGUAGGGGGAGAUCGGAAUUCCUGGUGUAGCGGUGAAAUGCGCAGAUAUCAGGAGGAACACCGGUGGCGAAGGCGGAUCUCUGGGCCGUAACUGACGCUGAGGAGCGAAAGCAUGGGGAGCGAACGGA
rnacentral:rRNA from 1 species